CCUACGGGAGGCAGCAGUGGGGGAUAUUGGACAAUGGGGGAAACCCUGAUCCAGCGAUGCCGCGUGAGGGAAGAAGGUUUUCGGAUUGUAAACCUCUGUGGAGGGGGACGAUAAUGACGGUACCCCUUUAGGAAGCCACGGCUAACUACGUGCCAGCAGCCGCGGUAAUACGUAGGUGGCGAGCGUUGUCCGGAAUUACUGGGUGUAAAGGGAGUGUAGGCGGGAAAGCAAGUCAGAAGUGAAAACUAUGGGCUUAACCCAUAGCCUGCUUUUGAAACUGUUUUUCUUGAGUGAAGUAGCGGUAAGCGGAAUUCCUGGUGUAGCGGUGAAAUCCGUAGAGAUCUGGAAGAACAUCAGUGGCGAAGGCGACUAUCUGGCACAUAACUGACGCUGAGGAGCGAAAGCGUGGGUAGCAAACAGGAUUAGAUACCCCUGUAGUC
rnacentral:rRNA from 1 species